ACCCGCUGAAUUUAAGCAUAUAAGUAAGCGGAGGAUAAGAAACUAAAUAGGAUUCCCUCAGUAAUGGCGAAUGAACAGGGAUAAGCUCAGUAUGGAAAUUGGGGCCUCUGGCCUUGAAUUGUAGUCUUGAGAUGGCAUUGCCAGCGGAGGCGCAGAUGUAAGCCUAUUGGAAAAUAGCAUCAGUGAGGGUGAGAGUCCCGUUUGUCAUCUGCAGUCCCCCGUGCACGGUGUGCUUUCUAAGAGUCACGUUCCUUGGGAUUGGAGCGCAAAUUGGGUGGUAAAUUUCAUCUAAAGCUAAAUAUUGGUUCGAGACCGAUAGCAAACAAGUACCAUGAGGGAAAGGUGAAAAGGACUUUGAAAAGAGAGUUAAAAGUGCCUGAAAUUGCUGAAAGGGAAGCGAAUGGAACCAGUCUUCUUGGUGAGAUUGGUGCACGCUAUGGUGAUUGCCUGCUGCUUCAACGCAAGUGUUGCAGUGGGUUUUGAUCUUGACGUGUGUGCUGCUUCUUACCUCGUGUGUCAACGUCGGUUCGGAAUUGAGGAAAACUCUAGGGACAUGGUAUCUCUGUUGCGGCGGAGUGAAUGUGCCUGGUAGAACUCAUUUCUUAACUGAUUUCUGCAUGUCUGGUCGCAGUGUUUCAUUACCUGUGUCUGGUUCUGCGCUUGUAGCUUCUGUUGCAAGUUGUGGUUCUGGGCCUGGUCGUGGAGCAUCUCCCUGACAUUAGUACGAUGACAAAAUGGUUUCAUUCGACCCGUCUUGAAACACGGACCAAGGAGUCUAACAUAUGUGCAAGUUCAUGGGUGUUAAACCUAAUUGCGCAAUGAAAGUGACUGCUGGGAUAUUUGCACCAGCAACCGACCAAUCAAUUGUGAGAGGUUUGAGUAUGAGCAUAUCUGUUAGGACCCGAAAGAUGGUGAACUAUGCGUGAGAAGGGUGAAGUCAGGGGAAACUCUGAUGGAGGCUCGUAGCGAUACUGACGUGCAAAUCGUUCGUCAUACUUGCGUAUAGGGGCGAAAGACUAAUCGAACCAUCUAGUAG
rnacentral:rRNA from 1 species